AUGUACAUUACAUAUAGUUGAUAGUAACUGAAUGUUUGUGUUGAAGUUCUUCCAGUGGUUGUAUUGAAUUGAAUGGGAGUCUCUCUGCAGCAUCAGUGCAUGAAAGAGUGAAUGACAUGAGUGGAGUUUGUUCUGCUGCUACUUCCUGAAUGUUUGCAGUUCAGAGCUGACUGCUUUCAUCAGGAAACAGUGAAGUCUGCUCAGUUAGUUUGAUCUCUAAAGAUGUCCACACAAACUGAAGCUGCAGCAGAUUGGAGAGGGAAAUUUAGCAGAAAUCUUCAUCCAGAUGGAAGAGAACAAAGUGAGGUGGAGAUGUUAGAUGAUGAAGAGCAGCACUCUGAUCAUGGAUUACAACAAACUGAAAAUCAGAAGCAGAAGAAUCUUCAAGCUGAGAGAAGAAACUGUUUCAGAGUUUUCAAGUUUUCUCUGGGAGUUUUCUGUUUCCUGAUUCUGGCUGGACUCAUGACUCGCUAUCAUCUGGUGUCUUUGGAAAAAAACAGACUGAAAACCAGAAACAAUCACCUGCAGACUGAACUUUCAGGCAUCAACAAAACUCUUUUGGAUGAAAUAAAACAGCUGAAAAAUCAGAUUGAAGUUUGUAGGAUCUGAUCUGGUGGUGAUAAACAGCAAAGAGGAACAGGUGGGUGUGUUCACACUAGUUCCUUCCAGCUUCUUGUGUCUUGGAUUCUCCACCUGUAUGUGUGCUGCUGUUGUCUGGAUGCUGAUGGAUUCCAGCUGAAAUUCUCCUCAACAACUCAGAUUUCAUGUUUGUCUUUCAGCAACAUUUCAAAGAAACGUUGUGAUGGAACACAGAAACUCUUUUUCCCACUUCUAAUGUCUUCAAUUCCAAAUAGGCUAAACUGGGAUUCAGUAGAAAUGGACUGUUGGCCCUGAAGACAAAACAAGAAGCAAAAACUAAAUGAACAGAAAUCUGCAUCAAAGAAAGUCAGAUUUUGUUCCUCAGAUGAACUUUCUCUCAGUUUUUAGGACAAUUAUCCAGAACAGAUGAAUCCUAAAGACCAGGCAUUAUUUUACUGGACAUUUAGUGUGAAAGGAAACCAAGAUGGAGAGAAUGUAUUAAGAAAGAAUAUUUUCUUUGGUUUAUAGGAGUUUGUUUCUACAUUGAAUCAGAAAGAAGAAUCCUGGAUCGGUCUGUUUGCUGAAUGGUCAUUACCGAAACCUGAAUGGAAAUGGGUGGAUGGAUCACCACUGACAGAAACGUUCUGGGAUGAGAAGUCUUCAAAAGAUGCAAAAUACAACGAUGCAGUGUCCUUAAGUGCUGAAGGGAAAUGGACACAACUCUACAAAGGAAACAACAAAAACUGGAUCUGUGAGAAAAACAUUUCUAAAUCUUUCUGUUUCUGAUCUGUGCAUUGAUUUAACUGUUUAGUAAUGUAACUACAAAAAUGUUUUAUUUUUUUUUUAUUUCUUUGUGUUUACUUCUCCAAAAUAGUGCUUAAAGGAAGGUUGUAUUUUAGUUUCUGGUGAAUUGUUCAGAGAAAUGAAGGUGUCAUCUAUCAACAACUUCAUCACAUUUAAAUAUCAGUUAAAAUGACUCAGAUAAACAGGAAACUGUAAUAAAUGACAUGAAAACGAGCUAACUUAGAGCAGCAGUUCAGACUCAGGUUUGGUCUGUAGCAAAUAACAAACAGCUUCCACAAAGUCAACUGAAAAGUUACAUCUAGAAAGGGAAGUCAAUGUUUGGAACAUUUUUUUGUAUUUUCUCAUGAUUUUGAUGGAAUAUUAAAAGAAUAUAUGAUGGAAAA